UUGUUUGGAGGUGAAUGAACAUCAUUAGCUUUAUCAACCACUGUCCCAAUCCUUUUGGAUCCUAUGAAUCUCCUUCAACUUAUCUACCCUUAAACAAAGAACAUCUUCUCUUCCAAAAUCUUGAAGUCCCCUCUUACAAAAAUAAAAAUAAAGUACUACAGAAAAUUGCUACAAAAAAGUCUCAAGUUUUCAUAUUAUUAGACAUCGGAGCUGACGUGGCACAUAAAUUUUGGACGCAUUUGGAUGAUCAUUCUGUAAGUUGGAGUAUUCAGUUGACGCAAUGGAGACAAGUUGAGGUGUCUAGAUGUACAUAGUCAAAGCUGGAGUGUUUACUUGCCAGCUAAGGCCAAGUUUGAGUGUCCAUUUAUGUAUCCGGUAUAUUGAGCUCUUCCAGAAGGUUUUGAAGAAAGAAUCAUCAUUUCAACACUAGGUUCCGAUCCGUUAUGGGCCUCUCACAAUAUCCAACUCCAGCAGAUGCAGGAGUACUAGGUGUGAUUCUAGUAAACACAGCCAUAUCCAUAUCCAUUGUCAAGGAGAUACUACGAUCGAUUCUUCGCCUGAUAGGCAUCCGUAUCGCAUCAUGGGAAGACUAUUCUAUUGAAGGCUCCUCAGACUCACUUGAAUGCCGUGGAAGCCCACCAGAGUCAUACAUGGAGGAGUUCAGAAGCCGAACACCUGCAUUUCGUUAUGACUCGCUAUGCAUCUCUAACCACCCUGAACAAGAAUGUUCUGUGUGCCUAACAAAAUUUGAGCCUGAUGCAGGGGUAAACAGUCUCUCAUGUGGUCAUGUUUUCCAUAAGCUGUGUCUAGAGAAGUGGCUCAGGUAUUGGCAUGUAACUUGUCCUCUUUGCAGAAAUUACUUGAUGCCUCAACAAGAAGAGGACGAUACGUGUCCAAUGUGAGAUUAAACGUUUUAAGGUGCCACUUCAUCCAUUUGAGGAUGUUAUUAUGUACAGCUUAGUAUUGUACAGGCUGAGUAUGUGGAUGCUUGAUCUUUGACAUGAUGUAGUCUGUUAGCUUGUUAUAUUUGUGAUGCUUUGCGUCCUCUCAGAGUGACGGGUCUCUUUGGUGUGACCAAAAACUUCAUACAUCAUUGUACAUGAUUUAGUUCUGUAGCUUUGUUGUGUUUGUAAUGCUUUGCGUCCUCUUAUAGUGACGGGUCUCUUUGGUGUGACCACAAACUUAUACAUUGUAGUAGUACAUGGUGUAGUCCUGUAGCUUGUUGUAUAUGUAAUGCUAUUUGUCCUCUCUGAGUGACGGGCAACUUUUGGUGUGACCAAGAACUUAUACAUUGUUGUUCAUAUGUUA